UACGUAGGGGGGCUAGCGUUGUCCGGAUUUUAUUGGGCGUAAAAGAGCGUGUAGGCGGCCAGGUAGGUCUGCUGUGAAAAACUCGAGGCUCAACCUCGAGACGUCGGGCGGAAAACCAUCUGGCUAGAGUCCGGGAAGAGGAGAGUGGAAUUCCUGGUGUAGCGGUGAAAAUGCGCAGAUAUCAGGAAGAACACCCCGUGGCGAAGGGCGGGCUCUCUGGGGACGGUACUGACGCUGAGACGCGAAAGCGUGGGGAGCGAACAGG
rnacentral:rRNA from 1 species